UACGGAGGGUGCAAGCGUUAUCCGGAUUCACUGGGUUUAAAGGGUGCGUAGGUGGGUAAGUAAGUCAGUGGUGAAAUCUUCGAGCUUAACUCGGAAACUGCCAUUGAUACUAUUUAUCUUGAAUACUUUGGAGGUAAGCGGAAUAUGUCAUGUAGCGGUGAAAUGCUUAGAUAUGACAUAGAACACCAAUUGCGAAGGCAGCUUACUACACAGUUAUUGACACUGAGGCACGAAAGCGUGGGGAGCAAACAGG
rnacentral:rRNA from 1 species